AAGAAACCCACGCGCGCACGCGGUGAUGUCUUACUGGUGAUAAUUGGCCCAGGGGUCGGUUACAGUCCAUCACAGAGGAGAAGCAAAGGCAGGGACUUGCAGCAAAUCACAUCAUAUCAACAGCAGAAAGAAACAACUUUGGCAGCAGAGGACCCCAAGAUGGAAGAGCCACAGGAUGGAAGGAGAGUACACAUGCAUGUGUGUGUGUAUCAGAGCUGCCACUUACAGGAAGGCAAGCUGUCUGACCAAGACCACGUGUUCCUAUAUCUCACCGAGGCAAGACUCAUGAAGACCAGGAAUUAGAAAGCUGCAGCCACAGGCCACAUCCCAGGCCCUGUUAUUCCUGCAAUAAUGAAAGGCCACUCAUGUGCGGUCAGAGUCGGAAGCUCUUACACACACCUUCCUGGUCAUCUUGGCAGAGGAUACAACCUGGCUCCUUCCAGCAUGACGGAGGGAAGAGAUUCGUUCCUUCUGGCUCUGGGCUGAUGCCCACUUUUCCUUUAGUCCAUUCUAGAAAGCAGAUGAGACAAUAUCUCCAUGGGUGCUGUGUCCUGCUGUGCCCUGGGUCCUGUGAGAGCACCGAGUGAAUGGAUCUGUGAUAGGCUCUAGAUCAGAUCGGUGUGGAGAUGGAGCUGUGACACUGAAUGAAGAGAAUUGGCAAUACCGCUCCUGGUCUUCAGACACCUGCACUCAGAAGUUUCAGAAGCUGUGCUUGGGGGCCGUGGCCUGUUCUGACGACUUUGCACGACGGCGAUUAUUCUUCAUGAAGUAUUCCCGAGUUUGUUUCAUUUAACCUUGCAGAAGCCAAGUGACAUGGAAUGUGGCCUGUAUCACCAGAUUACCUGGCUCCAAGACCCUGCGCUGGCAUCUCCCUGUUGAGGGCAUACUCUGCUUCUCAGGAUCUCGGUAGACUAGAACUUAACAUUCCAUUUUUAUUUGUUUUUACUUAUGUGUAUGUGUGUGCACCUGCAUGGAUUUAUAUGCACCAUGUGCAUGUGUGCUAGUGCCCUUCAGGAGUCUGUAGACGGAGUCUGAGCCUCGGAACCUACAGUGACAGGCCAUUUGGGAACCUCCAUACAGAUGCUGGGAAUUAAUCCAGUGUCCUUGACAAGAGCAACAAAUUCUCUUAACCGCUGUGCCAUUGUUCCAGUCCCCAGGACACACUUUCUAUAGACUCUGGGCUGCUGUGGGAGUGACACAGAAGUGGCUGUGAGUGCUUGGCCAUGGGUGCCUCAGGCACGAAUGCUACCAAGGAGAGAGGUUCCUGUCAUGAAAUGGAGCUUCACAGAAUCAAGGGCUUCAGAGCUGACACUCAGCUCCCACAGAGAUAAUUCUAAAGCCUCGUGGUUCUGGACCGUGAUGGAAGUCGUCUAAGUUUGUACUGACACCAAUGGGUGUGAGAGGCUCUGCCUGUUUCUGUUUCUAAGAACCCCUCAUUCUCUCCUUCUACCUGUACCAUCCUGUCCAUCUGUCUCCCCAAACCAGCACAGAGAAUGUGGCACCUUCCUUUCAGCAGGAGAUGCCCAGCAGGCUUCCCCAUGCCAUCCUCCACAAUCUGGCAGCAUGCCCCGCACCCCUUGGGAUAUCUUUGAGUGCAGUCUGUCUGGUCAGAUGAGACUGGAUUAGAGCUUGCACCACAUUUCCUCCUGUUGGCUGCUGGCUUUCCUUGAAAGUCCCUUGGUGUCAUGCCCAAAUCCUCUAACACCUUAUAGAAUCGGGUAACAUGCCUUUGUUAUAGAGACCUCGCUCGAGUGCUCUUCUGAGGAUCGGGUGACUCCAUAGCCCUUCAUAUGGCUCUACCCACAGUCUCCCACCCUGACAACAGCUGUCGGCUGUGUCAUGCUCAGUCUAUGGGGUUUAGGUUCAUGUAGAUCAGGUGCUGACCAUCACCUGAAGAGGAAGCCACCAGACCUGAGGCACCUCAACACACGGAGGAAGAAGCCAGCUCUGUGGGGCUCCUGGGGACUGCCACUGCUGCCUUCCUGCCCAGCUCCACCUGUUGGUCAGCCUUCUCUGGACACCACACCAGUUUUCUACUACACUUCUUCAGGAAAACAGGGCCACAGAGAGCUUCCUGAAGGAUUUUAGUGUGUGAAGCAGUUAGAAACAAACAGUAAGUAAAAGUAGAAUUUCCAGGAAAAAAAAAAAAGGCAAACUUGCAGACGUUCCAGGACGCUUUAAACGCUGCACUUAAGAUGCAUUAUGGUUGAAAUUAAAGCCCGUGAGUGGCUCUUUAUAUUUCUUUAUUUUGCAAUAACCUGACUACAACUUUCACUUCUCCAUUCAUUUCCUAGAAAUCCUUCUUUAAUGAAAACUGAAGGGCCAUACCCAUGAUUGCUGAGACUGGUACAGGCUGGGUUGACUUCGUCUCAGGGCUUCUCUCUUGAUGGAGUGUAAGACGGGACUAGGGCUCUCCAGAGACUCUUAAAAGAGAGCUUUAAGAAAGAACCAGCCAGUAAAAAGUUGCCUGUGGAGUUAUGAGGCCUGGCUGUGUGGCAAUUUUCUUAACCUCCUAAUCCCGACUGUCCAAUUACAGUUUACAGGCCCUUGGGGACUGCAUCAUUAACUAAACGAAGAGCAAUGGAUGACCCACGCCGUGGGAGCAGACACAUCCAAGGCUACUCUGAGGAGAGGUGCACCUGUUAGAACAAUCACGGAAGCAGUCGCUGAUGUAGGCAGAGCAGUUUCCCCCAGACUGCCUUCCACCUUGCCUUCACGGACUGCUCAUAUUUAUAAGCCAAUUUAUCUGGGCAUAAAUCUCUUAAACACAUCUGCAGGGGUGCCCGUGAGACCCCGACUACUGAAUGAACGGUCACAGAAAGGGACUCAUGAAUCCUAGGAUUCCCAUCUCCAAAACUCACGGUGCCAUUCAGUCUCGGCAACAGAAAUCAUGGACUUCGGUAAACUGAAAACUCAAGUUCUAACUCUUGAAAAAGAGCGCUUUGGGCUUUAGUUAGGGAGCCAGCUAUGGUAAGGAGCAGGACUGUGAGCCUCAGAAAGCCCAUGUCCUGCCGAACUCAGAUGGCUGUCGGCUCUCUGCCUCACUCAGUUUCUCCCCAUGCACUCAGAAAAGAGGUAGCUAUGGACCCUUCACCAUGAGAGCUCCCCGUCCCUUCCCUUUCUCACUGUACCUCCCUCCCGUCCUUUCAGAAACAUUCUAGGUAAACAUCUCUAGUGUAAAGAAAAAGGAUCCCAAAGACGCUAAAGGAAGCCUUGAAGAUUGGGUUCUGCUUGUUUUAUGUGAUUCUGUUUUGGGGUUGUCUUCUCAGAGGGAACUCACAAGCCAUCUGAUCUAACAGAGCUCAGCAGGGUCUUAUGAGAUAUGUGUGCUGAAGUGUGAUCCACAUGCAGUAAAACUGUCAGUCUUCAAACUUGUUUGGAGUCAUGUAUGAAACAAGAUUAGAAGGAAUGCUUAGUGUCGAGAGAGAGGAAGGUGCUAAGGUGGCAGAGUUUGUGGAAACCCUUGAGGGCUUUCCGUUUCCUAUAGAACAGUCUAGAACCCAAAGUGCAAGAAGUGAAGGCUUUUACUAAUGCAGUCACCACUUCUGCAUUUUAUCAGUGGCUGUGCUCCACUACCCAUGUAGCAGGUACGUGGCUUAGCGUUUACUCUGGGAAAGCCAUGCUGAUGGAGAAACCUUGAGGCAACAAGCUAUGCCAUGCUCCGUUUUAUAUCCCCCAUAGUGUCUGAAGUGUUGCAAGCUCACCAGAGAUGAAGGCUGAAUUAGAUCAGAGCACAGGGCCGCAGAGGCAGCCCUGGGUAAAGUGCUUACCACACAAGUAUGGUAACCUGAGUUUGAACUGCCAGUAUCCAUGCAGAGGCCAGUGUAGCAAGAUCUAGAAACUGGGGGGUGGGGAUGGGGAAUUGUCAGAGACAAAAUGAUCUCCAGAACUGGCUGGGUAACCAGGGUGGUUGAAUGGAGAACUCCAUGAUCACUGUGGGAGCCUGUUUCAAAAAGAAUGAAUGAAAGGAAGGAAGAAAGAA